rnacentral:tRNA from 1 species
GGGUGUGUAGUUCAGUGGUAGAACGCUGUCCUGAUAAGACAGAAGUCGAAGGUUCGAUUCCUUCCACACCCA